ACUCCUCCCUGAGCCAGAAGAUGUCUUGGGAUGCUGCCAUGGUCCCCAGGCUUCUCUGCUGUGUGGCCCUUUGUCUCCUGGGAGCAGGCCCGGUAGAUUCUGGAGUCACACAGACCCCAAAACACCUGAUCAAAGCAAGAAAACAGCAAGUGACACUGACAUGUUCCUAUAUCUCUGGGCACCUCUCCGUGUACUGGUACCAACAAGCCCAGAACCAGGGCCUCCAGUUCCUCACUGAGUAUUACAACAAGGAGGAGAGAACAAAAGGAAGCCUCCCUGACCGAUUCUCAGUGCAACAGUUCGAUGACUAUCGCUCUGAGCUGACCAUGAGCUCGCUGGAGCUGAUGGACUCGGCCCUGUAUCUCUGCGCCAGCAGUGCUGACACAGCCCUGCACACUCGGCAGCCUGCUGUACAAAAAGCUUCCUCCCCAGCUCAGGAAGUGACCGCGAGGGUGGCAGCUGCCAGCCACACAGGCGCAGGCCCGAGCAGAGCAGACUGCCUCUCUCAAGCAUCCUUCUACUGCUUGUAG